CCAUUAUUCUGAUACGAGUACCCUGCCCGAGAAAUCACCUAUAUAUUGCUGCUCGGUUUACAACAAUGAAUCGUCCCACAAUAGGAGGCACCUGUUUAGCACCGCUACUGACUGCAGAGUUUUCUAGACUGCCACCUGCGGUUAAAAGAGCAGCAAGAUAGAGCAAACAAUCAGGAUGAAGAUUUUCGAUCAACGCAUCGUACUGACGCUGUCCUUGUUAUUCCUCAUUUUAACGUUAACACCUACUUGUGUGCAUGCUCAAAUGGUCCGUGGCCAAGGUCCUAAGUUGGGUCCAAGAAGACCACCUGGUCCUGCAAGACCUGGAGGGGCACCACCAGCCAAGGUUUUUCUGCCUCCGGGAUUACGGAGGCCUGGAUAGAAGUGCUGUCUACAACGCCUUGCUACUUCUGGAAUGGACAACUUACUGGAAUGGACAGUAAGUUGGACAGGUGCCGAUUCAAAGGACCGAAUAAUUCAAAAAUCUGCCGGACAGAACCCGUGCUGUUAUUUCACAAGGAACCUUAGAUGUACCACAAUUGUGAACCAAUACGAAUUGCUCCAGUACACUCCUUGAAGCCUCACUAAGCGUUUGUGAUGACGCUUUUCUUUAGCGGGGGCUGAACCUGGUUGAGUAGUGCACAUAUAGCUGUGAUUGUGGUCCAACGAAAUCAAUAGCCCAGCCAAAUAUGUUGGUGAAUGGGCUGGACAAGCAAAAAAAUUGCUAAAAAGGCGAGGUGUUCCAUACUUCCUACAUUAUUCGACACAUGGAGCCUCCAUACACGUCUGGGUACAUGCACUGUGUGACGUUAUUGCAUCAGCACCUUGUAAAAACUGUGAGUCUGUUCCUCGUCAUGAAUGGCCAAAUAAAAUACUUAAAAAUGAA